CCUACGGGUGGCUGCAGUAGGGAAUAUUGCGCAAUGGGCGAAAGCCUGACGCAGCGACACCGUGUGUAGGAUGAAGGUCUUCGGAUUGUAAACUACUGUCAGUUGAAGACGAAGGCAGUAGAGUUAAGAGCUCGAAUGUUGACGGUAUUCAAUUAGGAAGUCUCGGCUAACUACGUGCCAGCAGCCGCGGUAAGACGGAGGAGGCAAGCAUUGUCCGGAAUUAUUGGGCGUAAAGAACACGUAGGCGGUUUAUCAAGUCAUAUGUGAAAACCUUGGGCUUAACUUAAGGAUUGCAUAUGAUACUGGUAAACUAGAGUAUAGUAGAGGAAAGCGGAAUUCCUGGUGUAGCGGUGAAAUGCGCAGAUAUCAGGAAGAACACCAGUGGCGAAAGCGGCUUUCUGGACUGUUACUGACGCUGAGGUGUGAAAGCUAGGGGAGCGAACAGGAUUAGAUACCCCUGUAGUC
rnacentral:rRNA from 1 species